rnacentral:rRNA from 1 species
AGAGUUUGAUCAUGGCUCAGAUUGAACGCUGGCGGCAUGCCUUACACAUGCAAGUCGAACGGCAGCGCGGGAGCAAUCCUGGCGGCGAGUGGCGAACGGGUGAGUAAUAUAUCGGAACGCGCCUUAGAGUGGGGGAUAACUAGUCGAAAGACUAGCUAAUACCGCAUACGACCCACGGGUGAAAGUGGGGGAUCGCAAGACCUCAUGCUCUUAGAGCGGCCGAUAUCUGAUUAGCUAGUUGGUGGGGUAAAAGCCUACCAAGGCGACGAUCAGUAGCUGGUCUGAGAGGACGACCAGCCACACUGGGACUGAGACACGGCCCAGACUCCUACGGGAGGCAGCAGUGGGGAAUUUUGGACAAUGGGGGCAACCCUGAUCCAGCAAUGCCGCGUGUGUGAAGAAGGCCUUCGGGUUGUAAAGCACUUUUGUUCGGAAAGAAAUCGCUCUGGCUAAUACCUGGGGUGGAUGACGGUACCGGAAGAAUAAGCACCGGCUAACUACGUGCCAGCAGCCGCGGUAAUACGUAGGGUGCAAGCGUUAAUCGGAAUUACUGGGCGUAAAGCGUGCGCAGGCGGUUGUGCAAGACAGAUGUGAAAUC